UACGGAGGAUGCGAGCGUUAUCCGGAUUUAUUGGGUUUAAAGGGUGCGCAGGCGGCGUGUCAAGUCAGCGGUAAAAUGUCGGGGCUCAACCCCGGCCGGCCGUUGAAACUGGUGGUCUUGAGUGGAUGAGAAGUACGCGGAAUGCGUGGUGUAGCGGUGAAAUGCAUAGAUAUCACGCAGAACUCCGAUUGCGAAGGCAGCGUACCGGCAUCCAACUGACGCUGAGGCACGAAAGCGUGGGGAUCAAGCAGG
rnacentral:rRNA from 1 species